GAUAGGGGACUCCGAGUGUGAGGGCAUAUAGCCCUCGCUUUUCUGAACCGUAAGGUGGUUCAGGAACAAGGACUGGGCAAGACCGGUGCCAGCCGCCGCGGUAAUACCGGCAGUCCAAGUGAUGGCCGAUAUUAUUGGGCCUAAAGCGUCCGUAGCUUGCUGUGUAAGUCCAUUGGGAAAUCGACCAGCUCAACUGGUCGGCGUCCGGUGGAAACUACACAGCUUGGGGCCGAGAGACUCAACGGGUACGUCCGGGGUAGGAGUGAAAUCCUGUAAUCCUGGACGGACCACCAAUGGGGAAACCACGUUGAGAGACCGGACCCGACAGUGAGGGACGAAAGCCAGGGUCUCGAACCGGAUUAGAUACCCGGGUAGUCCUGGCUGUAAACAAUGCUCGCUAGGUAUGUCACGCGCCAUGAGCACGUGAUGUGCCGUAGUGAAGACGAUAAGCGAGCCGCCUGGGAAGUACGUCCGCAAGGAUGAAACUUAAAGGAAUUGGCGGGGGAGCACCACAACCGGAGGAGCCUGCGGUUUAAUUGGACUCAACGCCGGACAUCUCACCGGUCCCGACAGUAGUAAUGACGGUCAGGUUGACGACUUUACUCGACGCUACUGAGAGGAGGUGCAUGGCCGCCGUCAGCUCGUACCGUGAGGCGUCCUGUUAAGUCAGGCAACGAGCGAGACCCGCACUUCUAGUUGCCAGCAAUACCCUUGAGGUAGUUGGGUACACUAGGAGGACUGCCGCUGCUAAAGCGGAGGAAGGAACGGGCAACGGUAGGUCAGUAUGCCCCGAAUGGACCGGGCAACACGCGGGCUACAAUGGCUAUGACAGUGGGAUGCAACGCCGAGAGGCGAAGCUAAUCUCCAAACGUAGUCGUAGUUCGGAUUGCGGGCUGAAACCCGCCCGCAUGAAGCUGGAUUCGGUAGUAAUCGCGUGUCAGAAGCGCGCGGUGAAUACGUCCCUGCUCCUUGCACACACCGCCCGUCAAAGCACCCGAGUGGGGUCCGGAUGAGGCCGUCAUGCGACGGUCGAAUC
rnacentral:rRNA from 1 species